rnacentral:ncRNA from 1 species
AAUAAAUUUGAUUUUGGUUUAUUUUAGAUUUCUUUAUAUUGACUUUUAAUAUGUAAAUUUUAGUGUGUUUUGUAGAAUUUAUUUAAAUAAUAAAUUUUGAUUUUUUAUUCGCAGUUUAUAUUUUUAUAUUAUUUAGUAAUUUAAGAUAUAGUUAAUUAUUUUCAUAACUAGCAAAAGUUGUGCCAGCAGCUGCGGUUAUACAAUUAGUUAAAGUUAUUUAUUUUAGAAUAUUAUUUAUGUAUAAAAUAUUGAUUAUUGAAUUUAUUAUUUAGGGUGAAAUUUAAAUUUUAAUAUUAAUAAUUAGGUUAUAUAGAUUAUAAGAUGCUUUAAAAUUGAGAGACUAGGAUUAGAUACCCUAUUAUUUGGAGUGUAAAUAUAAAAUUUCUUAGUAUUAUAAGUUUUGCUCUUUAAAUUGAAAAAAUUUGACGGUAAUUUUAAUCAUUUUAGAGGAACCUGUUCUGUAAUUGAUAAUCCACGAUAAAUUUUACCUUUAUUUAUAAUUAGUUUGUAUAUCUCUGUCUGAUAGAGUGUUUUAUUAGAAAUAAUUCUCAUAAAUUUUUAUUGAAUUUUAUGUCAGGUCAAGGUGCAGCUAUAUAGGGGAUUGAAAUGGGUUACACUUAAUUUUUGUAAUUAUUGGAUUAAAUUAUUAAUUUAAUUUAUUAAAUUGGAUUUAAUUGUAAUGUUUAAAAUAUAUUAUUCAUGAUACAUGUUCUUGAUUAAGUACACAUCGCCCGUCACUCCCAUUAUAAGAUGGGAUAAGUCGUAACAAAGUAGCCCUAUCGGAAGUUGGGGCUGGAAUUAUA